rnacentral:lncRNA from 1 species
GAUAGAUCAGUAAACAUGGGCAUAAUUAUGGGUGAUUAUUCAGACUAGUGCACACAUUUUACAGUUCAAAUAAGGCAAUGCCGAGCGUGGCAUCCCCUCGUAUGUAACAUAUUGGGGACAAAUAUGGACACUAUAGUUGUAUAUGACACAUGUAGAAAAUGGUAAAUUGAAUAUGCAUAUUUGAUACAUAAACUAUUUUUUUUUUUAAAUCAACCAAAGCAUUCAGUAACUGGAAAUACAUUUAAUAUUGUCUUUAGAACCAGCAGGUAAAAAAAUGAGCAACCAAUUUCCUGUGUAUUAUGCUAUUUCAAGGAGAAAAAACAAGUCCAUCUGCAUGACCUUGACCUUUGGCCUUGAACGUAAAAAAUGUCAGAUCAUUACAAGGAGGAACAAUAUACCAAAUGUGGUUAAAAUCUUUUGAAGCAUAUUAGUUUUAGAGUGUCCACAAGGGUGAUAUUGCCUUGUAUUACAACUGCCACUGUGACUUUGACCUUUGAACUUUAAAGUCAAUAGCGCUUAAGAUAUUCUUAACGAGUAACACCAUACCAAGUUUUGAGCAUUUUGGUUCUAGAGUGUCAAUAACAAUUUUAUCUACACGCAACUUACAUGUAGUAGGCGAGGG